rnacentral:lncRNA from 1 species
GCAAUAGAUUUGUGUCACCCAAGGAAUGUUGGAAAUUAUUAAAUGUGCAUGGAAUAAUGAAGAAGGUUACAACUCUGGGUUAUAAUUGUAAUACCAGAGUAGGAUUGAACAUGCCUUAUCUCUACAGAUUGGUUGGACGCUCGAUCGAGGUGCUUACAAUGAGUAGAUAGAAAUGUAUCAAACCAUGGUUUUUACGUUCAUUUUGAAUUCACUGGUACAAAGUUAGUUGGUUUAUGAAAGAGUACUCUUCUUCCUGUGUUUCUUCCAUUGUAGACGCUUUUUUGAUUUGUCUUUUGAGAACUCAAUUCCCAAUUCCCAAUUCAACAUUGUUGGCUUCUGAGAACUCAAUUCUCAAUUCAAAGACACCCUCUGAUGAAGACAUGUUAGGUUACAAUGAAAAAAAGUGAGUGACCCUUUUUUUCUUUGGUUGAUGAAAAUGGCUAAAGGGAGACAAGUAGAAGCAAUUAAGGUAGUG